rnacentral:rRNA from 1 species
ACCGCUGCUAAUACCGCAUGAUGUCGUCACCUGAGAGGGUGAUGAAGAAAGGCGAAAGCCGCAGAAGGAGGGGCCUGCGUCCGAUUAGCUAGUUGGUGUGGUAAGGGCGCACCAAGGCGACGAUCGGUAGCUGGUCUGAGAGGAUGGUCAGCCACACUGGGACUGAGAUACGGCCCAGACUCCUACGGGAGGCAGCAGUUAGGAAAUUUUCACAAUGGGGGAAACCCUGAUGGAGUAACGCCGCGUGAGGGAAGACGGCCUUCGGGUUGUAAACCUCUUUUCUGUGGGAAGAGAAGAAGACGGUACCACAGGAAGAAGCCUCGGCUAACUACGUGCCAGCAGCCGCGGUAAUACGUAGGAGGCGAGCGUUGUCCGGAAUUACUGGGCGUAAAGAGCGCGUAGGCGGCACGGUACGACCUGUGUGAAAGCCCCCGGCUCAACUGGGGAGGGUCACAGGUAACGGCCG